rnacentral:lncRNA from 1 species
AAGGAGAUCAAGCAUCCUGUUUUUAAGGAAGGGAGAGCAACGACAAUAUGGUCAUUCCAAUUUGAUCUGUCUUUCAUUCUCUCAAUUUGGUUCAUAAUAGGCAAAAAGGCACCUUCAAAAAAUGCCUCUUUCAUUUAUAACUGAAGCCAACUGUGAACAGCACGAGUAGUUGGGGUCAUUUGGAUUAUCCUAGGAAACAUCUGUGCACGUUUUUCCAGGACUAGGCUGAAAACUUGUGGAAUGGAUGCUUGCUGAACAUUCAUAGGUUCCAGCAUAGUUUUAUCAAGAAAAAAAAGAGCCUCCCAAAUCCUGAGCAAGCUCUAGCAAUGCACGAGGCAACCUCCUUAUCAAUGUGGACAUCCCUGGAACUUAUACUGCCAAAGUAGUGACAGCUCAAAGGAAAGAGGGAAUGAAAGAAGGAAAGAAAAAAAAGAAGGAAGUGAACAUUUACUAAGCACCAACUGUAUGCUGGAUGUCAUGCUAAAUUGAUUGAGAGACUUCUUCAAGAUUGAUAUAUAACCUUUACAUCUAUUAAAAUAAUCAGGCAUAAGCAAUAAGGAGAGGAACAGAUUCUCAAAGUAUUAUUUAUACCUCAUGUAGAAGAAAACAAAUCAAACGUCCAAACAUAGGGACAGAAAGCUGUUAACUGUAGAAUGCUGUCAGACAACCAAGAGAACAAACCAAAAAGUGAAGGACAGUUGAUAUCAGAUGGGGAAUUGAUAGAGUACAGCAAAGGUCACCAGAAAUGUGGCUAUAUAAAGGAGAGAAGAUGGCAUUUUAUCAAAGAGAUGUUCAAAGGGCACAAGAAAAAAAAAAAACAAAAUGGAAAAUCAAAAGGUACAGAAAAAAAGUUGGAAGAAAACAAGAGUGUAACAAUCCAGUGACAUGAACAAAAAAAAGCCAUUCUAUGACAGAAGAGGGACUGAGGACUAACAUAGAAUGGAAGUAAUCUUUUUGAACAAUGAGGUUUAGCAUUUAUAAAGAGAGAGAAGCAGUAUGUGCAGUGAAAAGUGUG